AGUUAUAUAUAGCGUCAAGCGCUUGACGCUACUGAGUUUUCUAUCGUUAGAUUUAACUCUUUGACUAUUUUUAUCUGUUAGAUUAUACUAUUCAAUCAAUAACUCACUCAAUCCUAUGGGGCCCACAUCAUCGUAACCAUACAUUUUUUUAUUUAAGGGCCGAAAACCUAAUAGCACCAAGCGCUUGAUGUUAUUGAUAGUAUUCCAUGCCUAGUUCUAUAUAUAUAUAUAUAUAUAUAUAUAUAUAUAUAGAGUAGGGUUACUAUACUAUUAUGAGUAUAGAGCCUUUCGUACUCAUAAGUUGUUUUCGAUAUUAAGGUUUUUGAAUCGACGAUCCACACCGUUAAAUAUGAUCUAGAGUAUUCGAAACUUCUAGAAAAUAAAUUUCGUAAUUUUUCGAAAUCAUUAUAAAGUCCAUCAAGCAGGUAUAAAAUAAACGGUCAAAAUUGAACGACAUCCUAAAAAUGGAUGAUCGGAUCCUUCAAUUUAAGAUCGGAGUUAUUGAUCUUUAUUUAGGUAGUGGAUAGAAUUUUCUAUCAAAAAUUCAAUAUAUUCUGAUUCUUUUACACCGUUAAACUAGCAAAUAUUUCAUACCGACCGUUAAAAAUUGUCAAUUUUGUGAGUUUUUGAUCGUAGGGAAAAUGAUAUCGAAAAAUUAUAAAAUUUAAUUUUUAGAAGUUUUAAAUGCUUUAGAUAAUGUUUAACGGUAUUGAUCGUCGAUUCGAAAGCUCUAUCAUCGAAAACAAUUUAUGAGUACGAAGUCGAUCAUACUCAUAAGAGUAUAGUAGCCGGUACUAUAGUGUUUGUUUUCAAUCUUAGGGUGUUCAAAUCAACGAUCCACACCGUUAAAACUGAUCUAGGGUAUUUAAAGUUUCUAGAACUAAAAUUUUAUAUUUUUUCGACAUAGUUUACCUUAUGAUCAAACUAUUUCAAAAUUGUCAAUUUUCAAUGGCUAUUAUGACGAGUUUGGAGUUUAACGGUGUAGAAGAAUCUAAAUUUCUUCAAAUUUUGAUAGAAAAUACUUUAAACUAUAUAGAUUAAGGUUAACAUUCUUGAUCUUGAAUUUAAAAGUCCUAUGCUCAAAUUUUAAAGAUUAUUCAAUUUCCACCGUCCAUUUUGAUAUAAUUUAUUUACUAAGUAAACGAUAUCGAAAAAAACUAAAAUUUUAUUCCUAAGAAAUUCAUAUACCCUAGAUCAUAUUUAACGGUGUGGAUCGUUGAUUUGAACACCCUAAGAUCGAAAACAAACACUAUAGUACCAGAGCUCAGUACUAUAGAUAGU
rnacentral:lncRNA from 1 species